GGUUAUCCCGAAACUUGCAUCAAGUAGGAGAAAUAAAUAUAAGAGAUUGGAAAGUAAUAUCUUAUUAAUUAUUUUUAUCGAUAAAAUCAAAAAAGAUUUCGAGGGUGACCACUGUACGAAACUUUCUCUUCGUGACAAAUAUGAAAAACAGCAUUUAUACCAAUAAUGAGAACAAGAGUAAGGCGUAAUUCUUAAGCAUAGUUUUGAUGAACGCGGAGCAUGAAAUUACGACUAGUAAAUUUAUAUAGUGGAGAAAUAAAUUGAUUGACACAGUUGUUGGUCAUGCAGCUAAUGGAAGAGAAGUUGUUCUGUUUUAGAUUAUUAUUGCACAAUUUAUGGAGUCAUGGAUGAAUCAAUCUUUGUUUCGAUAAAAUAAAAGAAGUGAAAUCGA